GAUGAACGCUGGCGGCGUGCCUAAUACAUGCAAGUCGAGCGAAUGGAUUAAGAGCUUGCUCUUAUGAAGUUAGCGGCGGACGGGUGAGUAACACGUGGGUAACCCGCCCAUAAGACUGGGAUAACUCCGGGAAACCGGGGCUAAUACCGGAUAACAUUUUGAACCGCAUGGUUCGAAAUUGAAAGGCGGCUUCGGCUGUCACUUAUGGAUGGACCCGAGUCGCAUUAGCUAGUUGGUGAGGUACAGGCUCACCAAGGCAACGGUGCGUAGCCGACCUGAGAGGGUGAUCGGCCACACUGGGACUGGGACACGGCCCAGAAUCCUACGGGAGGCAGCAGUAGGGAAUCUUCCGCAAUGGACGAAAGUCUGACGGAGCAACGCCGCGUGAGUGAUGAAGGCUUUCGGGUCGUAAAACACUGUUGUUAGGGAAGAACAAGUGCUAGUUGAAUAAGCUGGCACCUUGACGGUACCUAACCAGAAAGCCACGGCUAACUACGUGCCAGCCGCCGCGGUAA
rnacentral:rRNA from 1 species